rnacentral:rRNA from 1 species
AAUCAACGCUGGCGGCGUGCCUCAGACAUGCAAGUCGAACGCGAAAGUUCCCUUCGGGGGAUGAGUAGAGUGGCGCACGGGUGAGUAACACGUAGGGUAAUCUACCUUUGGAUGGGGGAAUAACAACCGGAAACGGUUGCUAAUACCGCAGUAAUGCAGCGGCACCUAAUGGUGACAGUUGUUAAAGCGGGGGAUCGAAAGGACCUCGCGUCUGAAGAGGAGCCUGCGGCGGAUUAGCAGUUGG